UGGGGAAUAUUGCACAAUGGGCGCAAGCCUGAUGCAGCCAUGCCGCGUGUAUGAAGAAGGCCUUCGGGGUGUAAAGUACUUUCAGCGGGGAGGAAGGUGUUGUGGUUAAUAACCACAGCAAUUGACGUUACCCGCAGAAGAAGCACCGGCUAACUCCGUGCCAGCAGCCGCGGUAAUACGGAGGGUGCAAGCGUUACUCGGAAUUACUGGGCGUAAAGCGCACGCAGGCGGUCUGUCAAGUCGGAUGUGAAAUCCCCGGGCUCAACCUGGGAACUGCAUCCGAAACUGGCAGGCUUGAGUCUUGUAGAGGGGGGUAGAAUUCCAGGUGUAGCGGUGAAAUGCGUAGAGAUCUGGAGGAAUACCCGUGGCGAAGGCGGCCCCCUGGACAAAGACUGACGCUCAGGUGCGAAAGCGUGGGGAGCAAACA
rnacentral:rRNA from 1 species